rnacentral:rRNA from 1 species
AGGAGAUAUAUUGAAAAAAGGUAUAUGAAAUUAAUAUUAUUUUAAGGAUAAUAAAUCAAAAUUAAAAAGAUGAUAAAAAGAUAUAAAAAUAUCAAUCAUAAUCAUGAAAAUGAUAAAAAAUAAAAACUAGUGGAAUGAAACAUCUGAGUAACUAGUAAAAUAACCAACAGGGAUAAUAUAAGUAACGGUGAGUGAAAAUAUUAAAAACUUAAAGUAUUACCAUGAGGUAAGAAGAAAGUAGUUUCCAACUACUAAGAAAGAAAGAAAAUUUUAGAUAAAAGUACUGUAAGGGAAAAUUAUGAAAUAGAAUAAUAAAGAGCAGUCAUAGUAUGGCGUACCUCUUGUAUAAUGGGCCAGUGAGUUAUAUAAUUUAGUGAAAAAUAGAUGAUUAUUUUUAUAUUUAAUAAGAUAAUUAAUAAUUAAAUUAUAUAGGCCCGAAAGCAAACGAUCUACACAUGUCCAAGUGUAUAUAUUAAAUAUAUAUAUGACUCAAUAGAUAAUUGUAGCAAUAAUUUCUAAAGAGGUGUGUGUAGUUGUGACAGACAAAUCUGGUUUGCAGAUAGCUGGUUUUCUGCGAAAUAUAUUUUAGUAUAGCCUUUAUUAUUUUUUAAACUGGUACAGCACUUAAAUAACUUUAGGGAAUUAGAAUAUAAUUUUAUUAAAAUAUUUAAACCUCGGAAUCAGUUAAUAAUUAAAUAAGGAGUCAGACUUAUUGCGAUAAGGUAGUAAGUCGAGAAGGAAACAACCUAGACUAUUAAAUGUAUGUCCCAAAUAUUAAUUAAGUGAAUAAAAUCUAUCCUAUUUAAACGAAUAUAUAUUCGGGGAAUUAAAUUAUAGACAAUUAGUAAGUGGGUUUGAUAAUAAUCAACUUUUAAUGAACAUGUAACAAUGCACUAAUUUUAUAUAUAUAUAUAAAAAAAAAUAUAUUUAUUAAUAAUAGAUAAAAUAUACGGGUCUAAAUUAAUAACAGAAUUAUAGAUAUUAAUUAAUAUGGUAGCAGAAUAUAUAAUGAAAAAUUAUAAAGAGAUUGCUGGCUUGAGUAACGAUAGAUAAUAUAAGAUUAUCCCCUUAUUCAUAAGGUUUUACUAUAAACGAACGGUCCCUAAGAUAAAUAUAGAAAUAUAAAAUCAAUGGGAAAAAGAACAAGAAAAUAAGAAUGAACCGUACUGUAAACCGACACAGGUAUGAAAAAUAAAGGGAAUGAGAUAACUACUUUGAAUGAACUCGGCAAAAUAAAUCGUGCGACUGUUUACCAAAAACAUAGCUUAUUGCAUAUUAGUAAUAAUAAGUAUAAUAAGUGAAAUCUGCCCGGUGUUAGUUCCAUAAAUAUAAUUAUUUAAUAGAUAAUUUUAUAAAUAACUGAUAAACGGCGGUCUUAUUGUGAGGAUCCGAAGGUAGCGGUGCGACAAGAAGUUCGUAUUAAGAAUAUGGUGAAAACCCAUUAAUAACAAUCGUAUUUAUUAAAUCUAUCUUAACAUGCAUAUAUAAGUAAUUAAUAUGUAUGAAGCUUAAGAGACAAAGAUGUUAUAACUUAAUCUGAUAUAAGUUAAUUCAUUUAGAUUAUAACGACAAGAUUAGUAUAUCAAAACAGUGGAAUAAAAUUUCGUUAAUAGGAAAAUAACAUAAUCAGAAUUGUUAUAAAAAUGAUUAGAAAGUAUAUCAUCGCUACUGAUAUCUUUAUACGAUUGAAAUAAUAAAAAAUAAUCAUCGGAAUAUAGCUGUAAUCUAAAUCGUUAAAUAAAGUCUUAAUACGGGAACUUGGUAAACCUUUAACAUACCUAUAAAAUAGGAAGUAACAUAUAAAGAAAUGAAAUUGUUAUAUAGUGUUGGAGGUAAAGGAUAAACAGAAAAAGCAAAAGGUUUUAUGUAAUAUAAAACAUAUAGAUAAAUAUCUAAUUUCGAAAGAAAGCAGACUUCUGUAAAAGGCUAUUAUAUCAUUAAUGUAAUUAUAUCUGUAUUUUAACAUAAAAUUAAAAUAUUAUAUAAAUUAUAAAUAUCUAAAUGUAAUUAUUGACAACAAUAAAUAAUAAAAUACAAGAAUCUUAAUUAUAAAUAUCUGAGUAAAAUUGUUAGGUAAUAUAUAAGUUUUUAAAUAAUAAAAAUAAAGUAUACACAAAUAAGUGAGUAGAUAAAAUAUGAUAUAUUAUUCAAGAUAUAUGUAUAAAAGUUAUAGAUCCAUAUUCUGUUAUAACAACAGAUAAUAAUUAUGGAUAUAAAAAAUAUAUAUAAGUAAGUAUAAAAAUCAUAUGGUUUACCUGAAUUAAAGUUACAGAUAUUAAAGUUAAUAACAAAUAACUUAAAUCUAUAAUUAUAUGUAAAGGUUUAUAAUAUCUAUCGCAUAUAAAAUUAUAAAUAUAACCUAAGAAAAUGAAAAUUAUCUAGGAUUAUAGAUCAUAAUGAUAAAACUUAAAUAAUUAAAAUAUCUUAUACUAAUUAAUAAAUCAAAUAAAACCUUUAGACAUUAUAGUAACGUUAAAUAAAAAAUGGACUAAUAAUUAAAUUGGUUACUGAUAUAUUUAAUAAAAUGUAUAAAGUUAAAUUGAAAAAAUUAUAAUUGAUGUUUAUAAAAGUACUUAUAAAUGUAAGAUAAAACUAAGAAUUGAACAGAUAAUGAUAAAUUUAUAUUAAUAAAUCAUAAAAAUAUUAAGAAAGAACAAAGUAUAUAAAUUAUAGGGUAUUUUAAUAAGCAGAUAAAAAUUAGUGUAUUAAGAUAGUUUGAGCCGUGUGCGAUGAAAGUCGCACGCACGGUUCUAGAGGGGGGAAAGACUGUAAGGUCCUACCUAUCCUAACAAAUUCAUUGACGUAUAAUUGACGUCCUGCAUGAAUGAAUAAACGAUGCGAUAACUGUAUCCAAAGUAGACUCAGUGAAAUAGCAUUUGCGGUGAAAUAAAGUACUAUUAUAUCUUUAAGAUAUUUUACGCCGGGUUGGUAAAAAUCCAACUUUAUAGUUUUAAUUAUAUUAAAGAAUUCCUUAAACUAUUUAAAAUUCUAGAUAAAUUUAUUGAUAUAUAACCUAUUUAUAAUUAUAACCUAAUAUUAAAAAUAUACAUUAUAAAAUUAAUAAAAAAUAACUUUAUAAAGUUAAAUAUAUAAAUUAUAUAUAAAAAAUAAUGUUAAUAUGGUUAAUCAAUUAUGUAUCUAUAAUGAUUAUCAAUUAUUUAAACUAAAAAAAAUACAGAGAAUAAAAUAAUAAAUAAUCAAAUAAUAAUAAGGUAUAAAAAAAAUAUAAUUAAAUGUCAUAAAAGACAGAUGAGAGUUAAAAAAAGAAUACAAUCGAAUAACACUAAAUAAUAGCUAUAAAUAAAUGGUGAAAACGGUCAAUGACAUCUAAGUUAAAGACCGUCGGCAGUUGUAUAUGUCGCUACAGACUGGUUCACCGAGGUUAGACUGAAAUGUCUGUCUAAAUGUACAGUCGAAUUCUGUAAUAUUAUAUAUAGAGGUGUUAGAUAAAUAUCCAAAUAGGAUAUAAACUUAUUAGUACAUAAGUAAUAAACCUUUAUGGGGUAAACCCAUUUAAGUUAAUCAGAAUUGGAAGAUGCCGUAUAUCCGUAGGUUGACAAAAAGACCCUAUGCAGCUUUACUAUAUCUUUAUUUUGAUUUCUAACUUUUUUUAUUCAUUUCAGUAGAUUAGGUUAUAUUUAUAUUUUAAAUAAAAUGAGAUACCUAUAUAAAUAAAAAAAGAAUCUAAUUAAUUUACAUCAUAAUAGCCACCUAAAAAAUGAGUUUUGAUAAUAUUUAAGAAAGAGUAAAGAGGUUAGUUUCGAUGGGGCGUCGACAUCAGCGAAAGCAUCUGAUGUGUCUAAUAAUAAUGGUUUAUAUAUAAACAAAAUAUUUAAUUAAAUUUAUUAUUUAAUAGUAAAUAACGUACAAUAAUUCUAUAUGGUAAAUAGAAUAAAAGAUUAUAAGUAAGGAUAACAACAUAAUUGUGCGAUGAUAAUAACACAAACAAGUGAAAUUAGUACAUAAGUAGAGUGUAGUGAACAGGCAUAAACAAUUGGUAUGGAUGUCGAUAACGAAUUAAAGUUACGCUAGGGAUAAAUUAUAAGUCCCUUAUAUAUAGUAAUGUAUAUAAUAAAAUUGGGUGAAUUGCAUAAAAGUCUUAAUCAUAAAUGAAAGAUAAUAUGCAGCGAAGUUUAUAUUAGUUAAUAAAGAGAUAUAAAAACGUUCAACGACUAGUAGAUGAGUAAACUAACAAUAAAUCUACCACGAGCGCCCAACAUCUUAAAUUAAUUAAAGAUGAUGAAAUAGUCUGAACUAUAUAGAAAUAUAUAGAAGUUGAAAUAAAGUCAACGAUAACAAAAUUGAACAGGGUAAUACCGCGUGAGAGUUGAUAUCGUCAGCGGUGUUUGCCACCUCGAUGUCGUCUAGACUCGUCCUCCUGGUCGCAGCAACUAGGUAGGGUAGGACUGUUCGUCCUCUAAGGAGUUACUUGAGAUGGGUUAAUUACGACGUGAGUCAGUAAUGAUUUUAUCAUCUAUGGAUUUUAACUUUUCUGUUGCCUUAAGUGUACGCAAGGAUAAUAAGGUACUUUCCUAUGGUUAAUUAUAUUUAGCUAAGAAUGUUGUGUUUACAUAUUGAAUGCAUAUCAAAUAUUAAAUCCUUCAGAUAAGUUUUUACAUUAUAGACUAUAAUGUUUUAGUUAAUUUGUAUUUUUUGCAAUUUUAAACUAAUUUUUUUUUUUCAUAUACCU